rnacentral:misc_RNA from 1 species
AGCUUGGUUCAAAGAACG